AUAACUAGGUGCUAAGCUCUGUAGCUUCUAUGUGCCUAAAGGAGCUGUGAGUGCCCUCUAAAUUUGGACCCUGUGGGACGAAGCUCCAGCCAUCCCACCCAAGUUAUGGCUCUGGCUGUGAUAGCUCAUGGAUUCUCAGAAAAUGACAACAGAUCUACAAAAAAGAAUUGGACUAGCAAUCCAAGGGGAGAAAAAAAACCCAAGUAUUUGCAGCUGCCUAGUGCCAUCUUCCUUCUUUCCUGAGCAUUCAAGAAAUGAAGAGAAACUGUCCAGUGAUAAUCCAUAUUACCAAAAGAGCUCAGGAUUCCCCUCUGUUAAAAAAGCGAAUUAUUCAUUAUGUGUUGACCAACAGUGACUUAAAAGGGAGGCAGGAGGAAUGAUAUGGGGAAAUAAAUUUGGUGAGA
rnacentral:lncRNA from 1 species